rnacentral:rRNA from 1 species
UUUAAAUUGRGAGUUUGAUCCUGGCUCAGGAUGAACGCUGGUGGCGUGCCUAAUACAUGCAAGUCGUACGCUAGCCGCUGAAUUGAUCCUUCGGGUGAAGUGAGGCAAUGACUAGAGUGGCGAACUGGUGAGUAACACGUAAGAAACCUGCCCUUUAGUGGGGGAUAACAUUUGGAAACAGAUGCUAAUACCGCGUAACAACAAAUCACACAUGUGAUCUGUUUGAAAGGUCCUUUUGGAUCGCUAGAGGAUGGUCUUGCGGCGUAUUAGCUUGUUGGUAGGGUAGAAGCCUACCAAGGCAAUGAUGCGUAGCCGAGUUGAGAGACUGGCCGGCCACAUUGGGACUGAGACACUGCCCAAACUCCUACGGGAGGCUGCAGUAGGGAAUUUUCCGCAAUGCACGAAAGUGUGACGGAGCGACGCCGCGUGUGUGAUGAAGGCUUUCGGGUCGUAAAGCACUGUUGUAAGGGAAGAAUAACUGAAUUCAGAGAAAGUUUUCAGCUUGACGGUACCUUACCAGAAAGGGAUGGCUAAAUACGUGCCAGCAGCCGCGGUAAUACGUAUGUCCCGAGCGUUAUCCGGAUUUAUUGGGCGUAAAGCGAGCGCAGACGGUUUAUUAAGUCUGAUGUGAAAUCCCGAGGCCCAACCUCGGAACUGCAUUGGAAACUGAUUUACUUGAGUGCGAUAGAGGCAAGUGGAACUCCAUGUGUAGCGGUGAAAUGCGUAGAUAUGUGGAAGAACACCAGUGGCGAAAGCGGCUUGCUAGAUCGUAACUGACGUUGAGGCUCGAAAGUAUGGGUAGCAAACGGGAUUAGAUACCCCGGUAGUCCAUACCGUAAACGAUGGGUGCUAGUUGUUAAGAGGUUUCCGCCUCCUAGUGACGUAGCAAACGCAUUAAGCACCCCGCCUGAGGAGUACGGCCGCAAGGCUAAAACUUAAAGGAAUUGACGGGGACCCGCACAAGCGGUGGAGCAUGUGGUUUAAUUCGAAGAUACGCGAAAAACCUUACCAGGUCUUGACAUACCAAUGAUCGCUUUUGUAAUGAAAGCUUUUCUU